rnacentral:rRNA from 1 species
AACGAACGCUGGCGGCAGGCCUAACACAUGCAAGUCGAGCGCCCCGCAAGGGGAGCGGCAGACGGGUGAGUAACGCGUGGGAACCUUCCCAGUGGUACGGAAUAGCCCAGGGAAACUUGGAGUAAUUCCGUAUACGCCCCGGACUUGAUUCGGGGGAAAGAUUUAUCGCCAUUGGAUGGGCCCGCGUCGGAUUAGCUAGUUGGUGAGGUAACGGCUCACCAAGGCGACGAUCCGUAGCUGGUCUGAGAGGAUGAUCAGCCACACUGGGACUGAGACACGGCCCAGACUCCUACGGGAGGCAGCAGUGGGGAAUAUUGGACAAUGGGCGCAAGCCUGAUCCAGCCAUGCCGCGUGAGUGACGAAGGCCUUAGGGUUGUAAAGCUCUUUUGCCGGGACGAUAAUGACGGUACCCGGAGAAUAAGUCCCGGCUAACUUCGUGCCAGCCGCCG